AUUGAACGCUGGCGGCAUGCCUUACACAUGCAAGUCGAACGGCAGCAUGAUCUAGCUUGCUAGAUUGAUGGCGAGUGGCGAACGGGUGAGUAAUACAUCGGAACGUGCCCUGUAGUGGGGGAUAACUAGCCGAAAGAUUAGCUAAUACCGCAUACGACCUGAGGGUGAAAGUGGGGGACCGCAAGGCCUCAUGCUAUAGGAGCGGCCGAUGUCUGAUUAGCUAGUUGGUGAGGUAAAGGCUCACCAAGGCGACGAUCAGUAGCUGGUCUGAGGGGACGAUCAGCCACACUGGGACUGAGACACGGCCCAGACUCCUACGGGAGGCAGCAGUGGGGAAUUUUGGACAAUGGGGGCAACCCUGAUCCAGCAAUGCCGCGUGUGUGAAGAAGGCCUUCGGGUUGUAAAGCACUUUUGUCCGGAAAGAAAUCGCACUUACUAAUAUUAGGUGUGGAUGACGGUACCGGAUGAAUAAGGACCGGCUAACUACGUGCCAGCCGCCGCCGUAACAC
rnacentral:rRNA from 1 species